UGGGGAAUAUUGGGCAAUGGGCGCAAGCCUGACCCAGCAACGCCGCGUGAAGGAAGAAGGCUUUCCGGGUUGUAAACUUCUUUUAAGAGGGAAGAGUAGAAGACGGUACCUCUUG
rnacentral:rRNA from 1 species